GAGGAUAUAGUUAAAUGGUAAAGUGCAUGCUUAGCAUUCACAAGGUCCUGGGUUCAAUUCCCAGUAUCUCUA
rfam:Camelus ferus unplaced genomic scaffold scaffold472, whole genome shotgun sequence.